GGAUUGCCCUAGUAACGGCGAGUGAAGCGGCAACAGCUCAAAUUUGUAAUCUGGCCUUCGGGUCCGAAUUGUAAUUUGCAGAGGAUGCUUUUGGCGCGGUGCCUUCCGAGUUCCCUGGAACGGGACGCCUUAGAGGGUGAGAGCCCCGUACGGUUGGACACUAAGCCUCUGUAAAGCUCCUUCGACGAGUCGAGUAGUUUGGGAAUGCUGCUCUAAAUGGGAGGUAAAUUUCUUCUAAAGCUAAAUACCGGCCAGAGACCGAUAGCGCACAAGUAGAGUGAUCGAAAGAUGAAAAGCACUUUGAAAAGAGGGUUAAAUAGCACGUGAAAUUGUUGAAAGGGAAGCGUUUACGGCCAGACCUUUUCCUGGCGGAUCAUCUGGUGUUCUCACCGGUGCACUUCGCUAGGUUUAGGCCAGCAUCGGCUUCUGUAGAGGGAUAAAAGCACUGGGAAAGUGGCUCCUUCGGGAGUGUUAUAGCCCUAAGCAUAAUACCUUUACGGGGGCCGAGGACCGCGCUUUUGCAAGGAUGCUGGCGUAAUGGUCGUCAACGACCCGUCUUGAAACACGGACCAAGGAGUCGAACAUUUGUGCGAGUGUUUGGGUGUUAAACCCUCACGCGUAAUGAAAGUGAACGGAGGUGAGAGCCCUUUAGGGUGCAUCAUCGACCGAUCCUGAUGUCUUCGGAUGGAUUUGAGUAAGAGCAUAACUGUUCGGACCCGAAAGAUGGUGAACUAUGCGUGGAUAGGGUGAAGCCAGAGGAAACUCUGGUGGAGGCUCGCAGCGGUUCUGACGUGCAAA
rnacentral:rRNA from 1 species